rnacentral:snRNA from 1 species
AUACUUACCUGGCGCAGAGGAUACCACGAUCAACAAGGCGGUUCCUUCAGGACGAGGCUCGAUCCAUUGCACUUCGGUCGAGCUAAACCCUUGCGAAUAUUCCUAAUGUGGAUAUCUCGGGCGUAUUAUAUUUGGUAGUCGGGAACUGCGUUCGCGCUUUCCUGAU